GACCGCUCCGGUGACAUAGUGGUUAGAGCGUCCGCCUUGGAUGCGGGAGAUCGCGGGUUCAAAUCCAGACCGAGUCA